rnacentral:rRNA from 1 species
UUGUUGGUGGGGUAAUGGCCUACCAAGGCGACGAUCAGUAGCGGGUCUGAGAGGAUGAUCCGCCACACUGGAACUGAGACACGGUCCAGACUCCUACGGGAGGCAGCAGUGGGGAAUUUUGGACAAUGGGGGCAACCCUGAUCCAGCCAUUCCGCGUGAGUGAAGAAGGCCUUCGGGUUGUAAAGCUCUUUCAGCUGGAACGAAACGGUACGCCUUAAUACGGUGUGCUAAUGACGGUACCAGCAGAAGAAGCACCGGCUAACUACGUGCCAGCAGCCGCGGUAAUACGUAGGGUGCGAGCGUUAAUCGGAAUUACUGGGCGUAAAGCGUGCGCAGGCGGAUUGUUAAGCAAGAUGUGAAAUCCCCGGGCUUAACCUGGGAAUGGCAUUUUGAACUGGCAGUCUAGAGUGUGUCAGAGGGGGGUGGAAUUCCACGUGUAGCAGUGAAAUGCGUAGAUAUGUGGAGGAACACCAAUGGCGAAGGCAGCCCCCUGGGAUAACACUGACGCUCAUGUACGAAAGCGUGGGUAGCAAACAGGAUUAGAUACCCUGGUAGUCCACGCCCUAAACGAUGUCAACUGGUUGUUGGGGGAGUGAAAUCCCUUAGUAACGAAGCUAACGCGUGAAGUUGACCGCCUGGGGAGUACGGUCGCAAGAUUAAAACUCAAAGGAAUUGACGGGGACCCGCACAAGCGGUGGAUGAUGUGGAUUAAUUCGAUGCAACGCGAAAAACCUUACCUACCCUUGACAUGUCCAGAAUCCUGCAGAGAUGCGGGAGUGCCCGAAAGGGAAUUGGAACACAGGUGCUGCAUGGCUGUCGUCAGCUCGUGUCGUGAGAUGUUGGGUUAAGUCCCGCAACGAGCGCAACUCUUAUCAUUAGUUGCUACGCAAGGGCACUCUAAUGAGACUGCCGG